rnacentral:rRNA from 1 species
GAAUUUUGGGCAAUGGGGGCAACCCUGAUCCAGCCAUCCCGCGUGUGCGAUGAAGGCCUUUGGGUUGUAAAGCACUUUUGGCUGGGAAGAAAAGGCUCUGGCUAAUACCUGGCGCUGCUGACGGUAGCUGCAGAAUCAGCACCGGCGUACUACGUGCCAGCGGCCGGGGUAAUACGUAGGGUGCAAGCGUUAAUCGGAAUUACUGGGCGUAAAGCGUGCGCAGGCGGUUCGGCAAGAAGGAUGUGAAAUCCCAGGGCUUAACCGUGGAACUGCAUUCUUAACUGCCGGGCUAGAGUAUGUCAGAGGGGGGUACAAUUCCGCGUGUAGCAGUGAAAUGCGUAGAGAUGCGGAGGAAUACCGAUGCCGAAGGCAGCCCCCUGGGAUAAUACUGACGCUCAUGCACGAAAGCGUGGGGAGCAAAC